rnacentral:tRNA from 1 species
CUGGGUGCAUCUCAGCGUGGUGCGCCGACCGGUUUGGGACCACGAGGUCGCCGGUUCGAGUCCAGCCACCCCGACCA